rnacentral:sRNA from 1 species
CCUGGGGAUGAAUCCCCAGGCUGUAUUCCUCCGCCCUUUCAGGGCG